UGUGAGUGUGUGUCUGUGAGUGUGUGAGUAUGUGUGUCAGUGUGUGUGUGAGUGUGUGAGUGUGUGUCUGUGAGUGUGUGUGUCAGUGAGUGUGUGAGUAUGUGUGUGUGUGUGUCAGUGUGUGUCUGUGAGUGUGUGAGUAUGUGUCUGAGUGUGUGAGUAUGUGUCUGUGAGUGUGUGUGUCAGUGAGUGUGUGAGUAUGUGUCAGUGUGUGUCUGUGAGUGUGUGAGUAUGUGUGUGUGAGUGUGUGUCUGUGUGUGUCUGUGAGUGUGUGAGUAUGUGUCUGUGAGUGUGUGUGUCAGUGAGUG